rnacentral:tRNA from 1 species
GGGCUCGUAGCUCAGUUGGUAGAGCGCCGCAUUCGCAUUGCGGAGAUCGGGAGUUCGAAUCUCCUCGAGUCCA